rnacentral:lncRNA from 1 species
UUGGAAAUUACUUACAAAGAUCAAAGUGUUUUCAGGCACCAAACACAUUUCUUUAGUAAACCUCAUUCCAUUGGCAUUCAUUCGUUAAUUGAAAAAAAUAAUUCCUUCCAAUAUGAUCCCUUAGAACACGUCUCACAUCAUAUGGAUCCAGAUAUCGUAGGCAUGCAUCUAAUUAAAAUUUAUUCUUAAUUAAGGAGUCUCCAAGUCAAAAAAUUAAAAUGCCCACAUAAAUUUUAAUGUUAAAAAAAGGUGGAAGCAAAAUUUGGCAGAACUUGCAAUAGCAAGAGCACUUCCCAUGCAAUAUCCAGCCAUGCCAACCUUCUUGGAACCAUUUCCCUUAAGCCAAUUAAUUGAAGCACUGAUAUCCACGACAACCCCGACAUCAGCUGCUAGUGAUUGAAUGAUAAAAACAUCACAUGAUGCCACCUAAAUAUUCUAGAGUAACUACAAAAACCAAAGUCCCGAUUGGCAUUUUCAUGCCUGUACCAAGAAAAAAAAAAGAGAAAGAAAUGGUGUUUGAUCUCAGCAAUAAAGGAACAGCGGCUGGCUGGGCUGAAACUUGACGUGACGACGGAGGAACGACAAUAGUAAUUGAGAUAAGCGGCAGCAGAUGUAUAGAAACGGCGGCUAGCCGAUCAUCGAUGACUAAAGCUUGAUGACGACAGAGUAUUGGCGGUAGUAAAAGUCGAGGUACAGCAGCCAACAGCAGUGAGUGUAGCAAAGGAGCGUUAGCAGCAGGAACUUAAUAAGUAG